rnacentral:rRNA from 1 species
AGAGAGUUUAACUGGGGUAGUUUUUUUGUAAAAUCUGAGGUUGUAAAAGACAUGUAAGGUGGGAUUAGGUCCUUUAGAUAAGGAUAAUUUGAGUGAGUUACUUUAGGGAUAACAGCGUAAUAGUCCUAGGGAGAUCGUAUCUAUGGGAUUGAUUGCGACCUCGAUGUUGAAUUAAAAGCUCAGUGUAGAGUAGAAGCUACAGGGUGAGGGUUUGUUCAACCUUUAAAUUUUUACAUGAUCUGAG